rnacentral:rRNA from 1 species
AAUGAGGAUAAUUUACAACCCUUACCGAAAGCAAUUGGAGGGGCAAGUCUGGUGCCAGCAGCCGCGGUAAUUCCAGCUCCAAUAGCGUAUAUUAAAGUUGUUGCAGUUAAAAAGCUCGUAGUUGAAGUUCUGAUUGUUCGGGCCUCGCGCUUUAUAGCCGAGGAACCGACAGUCAUCCGCUUGCAAAUAUAUGUUCGCCUUUAACCGGGUGGCUAUAUGAGUAAGCAAUUUACCUUGAGAAAAACAGAGUGUUCCAGGCAGGUUUGUCCGGAAUGCAUUAGCAUGGAAUAAUAGAAUAUGACUGAAGUCGAUUUAUUGGUUUAAGGCUUUAGUAAUGAUUAAUAGGAACAGUCGGGGGCAUUGGUACUUGACAGUCAGAGGUGAAAUUCUAGGAUUUGUCAAAGACUAACAAAUGCGAAAGCGAUUUGCCAAGGAUGUUUUCAUUAAUCAAGAACGAAAGUU